UGUUUUUCUCCGUCAGCUUGCGAAGGAUUAACGUCAGCGCGGUCAUAGAAAGACUUAUUUUUUGUGUUUUGGACAUAAUAAAUCCAAUGUAUUCAUAGUGACUACUCAACCCAUGCUGCUAUUAAUUCAGAGUUGAUCACAUCGUGCAAUUUCCAGACCCAAAUAAGUGAUCCAAAAUAUAAAGACUAGUUCAUUAUACUUUUAUUGAAAAUUUGAGCGAUGAGGAGUAGAUGCUGCAUGUGCCGCCAUGUUCCAAUCAGAGAUCGAUGAAGGCAAAUACGGGCAUAACAUUCUCUACAGGAUACCACUACAAGCGCCGCUUAUGAAAUCCAAAAUUAAAGUUUGUUUAUGGACUAAACAAUUAUAAUAUAACAAUUAUAA